GCUAUUGGAGUUCGAUUAAGCCAUGCGAGUCGAGAGUCUUAGGGACUCGGCGUACCGCUCAGUAACACGUGGGUAACCUGCCCUAUGCUGGGGAAUAACCUCGGGAAACUGAGAAUAAUGCCCCAUAGUCCACAAUGCCUGGAACGGUUUGUGGAUCAAAGCUCCGGCGGCAUAGGAUGGGCCUGCGGCGUAUCAGGUUGUAGGGGGUGUAACGUACCCUCUAGCCAUCAACGCGUACGGGUGUUGGGAGACAUAGCCCGGAGAUGGAUUCUGAGACACGAAUCCAGACCCUACGGGGUGCAGCAGGCGCGAAAACUUGGCAAUGCGAGAAAUCGUGACCAGGGAACUCCAAGUGGCUGGGGUAAGACCCAGUCUUUUCUUGACUCUUCAACGGUCUUGGAAUAAGGGGUGGGUAAGGACGGUGCCAGCCGCCGCGGUAAUACCGGCGCCUCAAGUGGUAGUCGAUUUUAUUGGGCCUAAAACGUCCGUAGCCUGUUUGGUACAUUCGUGGGUAAAUCAACCAGCUCAACUGGUUGAAUUCUGCGAGCACGGCCAGACUUGGGACCGGGAGAGGUGUGGGGUACGCUCAGGGUAGGGGUAAAAUCCUGUCAUCCUGAGCGGACCACCUGUUGCGAAGGCGCCACACUAGAACGGAUCCGACGGUCAGGGACGAAGCCUAGGGGCACGAACCGGAUUAGAUACCCGGGUAGUCCUAGGUGUAAACGCUGUGGACUUGGUGUUGGGGACUCUCCGAGAUUCCUCAGUGCCGAAGCGAAGGUGAUAAGUCCACUGCCUGGGGAGUACGGUCGCAAGGCUGAAACUUAAAGGAAUUGGCGGGGGAGCACCGC
rnacentral:rRNA from 1 species